AGCGAACGCUGGCGGCAGGCCUAACACAUGCAAGUCGAACGAACUCUUCGGAGUUAGUGGCGGACGGGUGAGUAACACGUGGGAACGUGCCUUUUUGUUCGGAAUAACUCAGGGAAACUUGUGCUAAUACCGAAUGUGCCCUUCGGGGGAAAGAUUUAUCGCCAUUAGAGCGGCCCGCGUCUGAUUAGCUAGUUGGUGAGGUAACUGCUCACCAAGGCGACGAUCAGUAGCUGGUCUGAGAGGAUGACCAGCCACACUGGGACUGAGACACGGCCCAGACUACGACGGGAGGCAGCAGUGGGGAAUAUUGCGAAAUGGGCGAAAGCAUGACGCAGCCAUGCCGCGUGAAUGAUGAAGGUAUUAGGAUUGUAAAAUUCUUUCAACGGGGAAGAUAAUGACGGUACCCGGAGAAGAAGCCCCGGCUAACUUCGUG
rnacentral:rRNA from 1 species